UGUGUGUGUGCGCGCCCAUGCCCGAGUCCGUAUGUCACCGGCUUUGCCCACGAGCACUUCACCAGCAACUUUCCGUCCUUCAAUAUGUCUGAAGAGAGAAGGUAUUUGGGAUUGAGAGUCCGCUCAAAAAAUGGCUUGGACCUGCCUGAAGGUGACAAUCAGCGGAGUGGAAUCAGGAUCCUUCGAAUGUGAGAAUGAGAAAUCAACUGGACUCGACUGGUGCAUCCUUCACUCACCCACAGUUCUUCACAUGCAGCACAAAACCAU